rnacentral:rRNA from 1 species
UACGUAGGGGGCGAGCGUUGUCCGGAGUUCCUGGGCGUAAAGCGCACGCAGGCGGUCUGCUAAGUUUGGAGUGACAGUUGGUGGCUUAACUGCCAAAGUGCUUCGAAAACUGACAGACUUGAGGGCUUCAGAGGGACACGGAAUUCCGGGUGGAGUGGUGAAAUGCGUAGAGAUCCGGAGGAACACCAAAGGCGAAGGCAGUGUCCUGGGGAGUACCUGACGCUCAGGUGCGAAAGCCAGGGGAGCGAACGGG